rnacentral:rRNA from 1 species
AGUGGACGCUGGCGGUAGGCCUAACACAUGCAAGUCGAACGGCAGCACAGUAAGAGCUUGCUCUUACGGGUGGCGAGUGGCGGACGGGUGAGGAAUACAUCGGAAUCUACUUUUUCGUGGGGGAUAACGUAGGGAAACUUACGCUAAUACCGCAUACGACCUACGGGUGAAAGCAGGGGAUCUUCGGACCUUGCGCGAUUGAAUGAGCCGAUGUCGGAUUAGCUAGUUGGCGGGGUAAAGGCCCACCAAGGCGACGAUCCGUAGCUGGUCUGAGAGGAUGAUCAGCCACACUGGAACUGAGACACGGUCCAGACUCCUACGGGAGGCAGCAGUGGGGAAUAUUGGACAAUGGGCGCAAGCCUGAUCCAGCCAUACCGCGUGGGUGAAGAAGGCCUUCGGGUUGUAAAGCCCUUUUGUCGGGAAAGAAAAGCAGCAGGUUAAUACCCCGCUGUUCUGACGGUACCCAAAGAAUAAGCACCGGCUAACUUCGUG